rnacentral:rRNA from 1 species
GAUGAACGCUGGCGGCAUGCUUUACACAUGCAAGUCGGACGGGAAGUGGUGUUUCCAGUUGCGGACGGGUGAGUAACGCGUAAGAACCUGCCCUUGGGAGGGGAACAACAGCUGGAAACGGCUGCUAAUACCCCGUAGGCUGAGGAGCGAAAGGAGGAAUCCGCCCAAGGAGGGGCUCGCGUCUGAUUAGCUAGUUGGUGAGGUAAUAGCUUACCAAGGCCGUGAUCAGUAGCUGGUCCGAGAGGAUGAUCAGCCACACUGGGACUGAGACAAGGCCCAGACUCCUACGGGAGGCAGCAGUGGGGAAUUUUCCGCAAUGGGCGAAAGCCUGACGGAGCAAUGCCGCGUGGAGGUAAAAGGCCUACGGGUCAUGAACUUCUUUUCCUGGAGAAGAAACAAUGACGGUAUCUGGGGAAUAAGCAUCGGCUAACUCUGUG